GAUGAACGCUGGCGGCGUGCUUAACACAUGCAAGUCGAACGAAGCACCUUGAUUGAUUCUUCGGAUGAAGAUCUUGGUGACUGAGUGGCGGACGGCUGAGUAACGCGUGGGUAACCUGCCGCAUACAGGGGGCUAACAGUUAGAAAUGAUUGCUAAUACCGCAUAAGACCACAGCACCGCAAGGUGCAGGGGUAAAAACUCCGGUGGUAUGAGAUGGACCCGCGUCUGAUUAGGUAUUUGGUGGGGUAACGGCCUACCAAGCCGACGAUCAGUAGCCGACAUGAGAGGGUGACCGGCCACAUUGGGACUGAGACACGGCCCAAACUCCUACGGGAGGCAGCAGUGGGGAAUAUUGCACAAUGGGGGAAACCCUGAUGAAGCGACGCCGCGUGAGCGAUGAAGUAUUUCGGUAUGUAAAGCUCUAUCAGCAGGGAAGAAAAUGACGGUACCUGACUAAGAAGCACCGGCUAAAUACGUGCCAGCAGCCGCAGUAACAC
rnacentral:rRNA from 1 species